rfam:Pseudohongiella acticola strain KCTC 42131 KCTC42131_S1, whole genome shotgun sequence.
CCUCUUCCACUUGCUGGGGGCAGAUAAAAUGAAUAUGUGAAUCGAUACCGCCGGCCGUCAGUAUUUCACCCUCACCGGCAAUAAUCUCGGUACCUGGGCCAAUAAUGAUGGUGACGCCAUCCUGCACAUCCGGAUUUCCCGCUUUACCUAUAGCGAUAAUGCGGCCAUGUUUGAUACCAACAUCGGCUUUAACGACACCCCAAUGGUCGAGUAUCAGCGCGUUGGUGAUGACAACAUCCAUGCUCUGCGCGUCGCCCCGCUGGCUUUGACCCAUGCCGUCACG